rfam:Bombyx mori DNA, contig: Bm_scaf35_contig21285, strain: p50T/Dazao, build 2, whole genome shotgun sequence.
UUAACUCAAAUUUGUAUAAAAUUGGAACGUUUGCCUAGGUUUGCCGCCAGGGGCGCUGUUCCAACUGCAUAAAAAAUUUAGUUA